UGGAAUUUCACUUGAUGGAGUCCUGCACAUCAGAUACUCUUCUAUCUGGGGCUGCCAGUAGUGCAGCAGAAAUGCCCAAAUGGUAUUAGGUAGAAAACUGACAGCAGCCUGCAUUUCUGGAACCGGACAACAUGAAUCAGACCUAGCGCAAGGGAACAGUCAAGCAUUCAUAAACAGGCAUUGAAGAUUUUCAGAGCCCACAAUUUGUCAUCCCGAAAUAUUCCAGAGAAAAUCACUGCAGAAUUUUGCAUUCUUUAUGGCUUUCUUUUUUAAAAAAGAACAGUAACUGUUAGAAUUUACUUCUGCAUAUUCAAAAAUGCUUUUGAAAAUAUGUUUGUGCAAAGAGGGAAGUAACUGCAGAGAUUAAUUCCAGACACCUCAGUUUCAACGGAAAUCGAAAAAUGAUUGAGGGAAGGUUAAGUGGUAAUGGGGUGAACAUUCUUGAGAAACGUUGCAAAAUUACGCUGAACCAUCACAUUGAACACGCAGGGCCUAAUCUGAAACCUGCUGAGGUCAAUUAAAAUCUUGAUAUUAAUUUUCUCAGGUUUCAGAUUAACCUCAUCUUUAUUUUGUAGAAUUAUAUUAUGAUGGAUUUUUUUUUUUUUUUGUCCUCAGGCUUGCAUGCUUCUGUCUUCACACUUCUUGUAAGUCUCCCAGUAAUGCUAGUUUUAAUUUGGUGUUCAAGGUCUGUUCCUCCCUGUGAGAAAUACAUUUAUAAUACAAAUAGAAGCUGGAAAAUAGUUACCUGAAUGUGGUGUUCUUAUAUCCA